UGGCUCAGUGGUAGAGUGCUUGCCUUACAUGCAUGAGGCCCUGGGUUCGAUUCCCCAG
rfam:Dipodomys ordii contig_58878, whole genome shotgun sequence.